rnacentral:sRNA from 1 species
CGAUUCGAGCGAAAGCGGGAAAGCGUUGCCGCAGGCAACGACCCGAAGGGCGAAGCGCGCAGCGCUGAGUCAUCCUUCCCCCACCACCA